GACGAACGCUGGCGGCGUGCCUAAUACAUGCAAGUAGAACGCUGAAGAGAGGAGCUUGCUCUUCUUGGAUGAGUUGCGAACGGGUGAGUAACGCGUAGGUAACCUGCCUUGUAGCGGGGGAUAACUAUUGGAAACGAUAGCUAAUACCGCAUAACAAUGAGUGACACAUGUCAUUUAUUUGAAAGGGGCAAUUGCUCCACUACAAGAUGGACCUGCGUUGUAUUAGCUAGUAGGUGAGGUAACGGCUCACCUAGGCGACGAUACAUAGCCGACCUGAGAGGGUGAUCGGCCACACUGGGACUGAGACACGGCCCAGACUCCUACGGGAGGCAGCAGUAGGGAAUCUUCGGCAAUGGGGGCAACCCUGACCGAGCAACGCCGCGUGAGUGAAGAAGGUUUUCGGAUCGUAAAGCUCUGUUGUAAGUCAAGAACGAGUGUGAGAGUGGAAAGUUCACACUGUGACGGUAGCUUACCAGAAAGGGACGGCUAACUACGUGCCAGCAGCCGCGGUAAUACGUAGGUCCCGAGCGUUGUCCGGAUUUAUUGGGCGUAAAGCGAGCGCAGGCGGUUUGAUAAGUCUGAAGUUAAAGGCUGUGGCUCAACCAUAGUUCGCUUUGGAAACUGUCAAACUUGAGUGCAGAAGGGGAGAGUGGAAUUCCAUGUGUAGCGGUGAAAUGCGUAGAUAUAUGGAGGAACACCGGUGGCGAAAGCGGCUCUCUGGUCUGUAACUGACGCUGAGGCUCGAAAGCGUGGGAGCGAACAGG
rnacentral:rRNA from 1 species